rnacentral:rRNA from 1 species
UACGUAGGGUGCAAGCGUUGUCCGGAAUUAUUGGGCGUAAAGAGCUCGUAGGCGGUUUGUCGCGUCUGCUGUGAAAACCCGAGGCUCAACCUCGGGCCUGCAGUGGGUACGGGCAGACUAGAGUGUGGUAGGGGAGACUGGAAUUCCUGGUGUAGCGGUGAAAUGCGUAGAUAUCGGGAGGAACACCAGUGGCGAAGGCGGGUCUCUGGGCCGAUACUGGACGCUGAGGAGGCGAAAGCGGUGGGGAGCGAACAGG